AAACAAAGCACCAGGUCACUUAAAUUCAGGCUCCUCCUCAGGCUUGAAGAGAUUUCCGGGAGCGGUGACUCUCAUCUGCUCGAAGAUGAGCCCACUGUGGACCUUCCUCUUCCUGCUGUCAGCUCCCAGCGGGGUCCUGUCCCAGGUGCAGCUGCGGGAGUCGGGACCCAGCCUGGUGAAGCCCUCACAGACCCUCUCCCUCACCUGCGCUGUCUCUGGAUUCUCACUAAGCAGCAAUAGUGUAGGCUGGGUCCGCCAGGCUCCAGGGAAGGCGCUGGAGUGGGUUGGUGCAAUAGGUUAUAGUGGAAGCUAUAACCCAGCCCUGAAAUCCCGGCUCAGCAUCACCAGCGACACCUCCAAGAGCCAAGUCUCCCUCUCACUGAGCAGCGUGACACCUGAGGACACGGCCGUGUAUUACUGUGCAAGAGACACAGUGAGGGGAAGUCAGAGCGAGCCCAGACAAAAACCUCCCUGCAUGGGCGCCCAGGACCACCAGGGGGCGCUCGGGACUCGGUAGAAAGCCGAGCCCAGG